UCUAUUAACACAGAGAAGUAGCUCCGGCUACAAUGUUCUUCCGCAAGAUGCAUGCCGUUCUGUUUAACCAUUAGAGCUCCAAAAGUUACGGACUUGUUUAUAUAUUAUAUGUUGUGUUUGUGAAUGAAGGAGAUUUAUUGGAUGGGGUACGCGCGAGACAAAUUCUAAAUUUUAAACGAGCAAGUCAAACGGACUUUCGGAGAAUCUGAGUACUGCGCAUGCGCAUCAUUUUGUUCUAUAAUAACGGUCGACUUCCAGCAGACGGACACGGAGUAAAAGCAGCUGGAGGAGAGACAGCCUGUGCAGCAACAACAAGACAACAAUGAUUAUAAGCAGGGAUAAUCUCCAGGGGGACUGCACUGGUCCAGGAUCAAAAGAUCAUUCAUCAUGCAGACCAUGUUCCAGGAGAAGCAGUGUAUCCUGGGUCUGCUUGAUCAUUUUGUUGUCCUGGAUGUGAGAACAUGGUCAAAAGGUGUGUCAAUCAGCAUCCAGCCAUAAAAGCAGCCUUCUCGUUAAAAGGCUCAGGAGGACAAACAGCUGCCAGAGGAGGAUGAUGAUGGCAGUGGUGACCGAGGUGACUGUGCAGCUCAGGAUGAAGAAGAGGAGGAACAUCUUCCAGUUUGCCAAAAUCCAAAGUGAAUAUAUAGAUACCAUCCUCCUAUAUCCUUGCCUCAGAAGAACCUGAGAAAGACACUCUUCCUCUUCUCUCACAGCU